rnacentral:lncRNA from 1 species
UCAGACUGUGGAAUCACUUCAGGUGAGUAGAUCUUCCGACUUUCUCUACGUCUUCUGUGGUCUUGGCUUUGAAAACAGGACACAAAUAUCCUAUAGACAUGAGGGUCGGGGCUGCCCAGAGGAACUAGCUCACAAACACCUACUAACUCUCCUUUCCUGUCAACAGCAUCCUAUCAUCAGGGGGUUCUGUCUGCAACCAUCCUCUAUGAGAUCCUACUGGGGAAGGCCACCCUAUAUGCUGUGCUGGUCAGUGGCCUGGUGCUGAUGGCCAUGGUCAAGAAAAAAAAUUCCUGAGACAAACUUUUAUGCAUCCUGAGCCGUUCUUCACCCUGGCCAUAGAUUUUCCUGCACCUUCUCUAAUUCCUGUUCCUAAGAACUUGUCUCUUCUUCCUCCAUGGAUAUCCAUCCUUCCUCGUUGACACCUUGACUCUGAAACAGACUAAAUCAAUAAAAACAUGGAG